UACGGAAGGCAGCAGGGGGGAAUAUUGCACAAUGGGCGCAAGCCUGAUGCAGCCAUGCCGCGUGUAUGAAGAAGGCCUUUCGGGUUGUAAAGUACUUUCAGUCGUGAGGAAGGUGUUAAGGUUAAUAACCUUAGCAAUUGACGUUAGCGACAGAAGAAGCACCGGCUAACUCCGUGCCAGCAGCCGCGGUAAUACGGAGGGUGCGAGCGUUAAUCGGAAUUACUGGGCGUAAAGGGCACGCAGGCGGUUAAUUAAGUUGGAUGUGAAAUCCCCGGGCUUAACCUGGGAAUGGCAUUCAAGACUGGUUAGCUAGAGUCUUGUAGAGGGGGUAGAAUUCCAUGUGUAGCGGUGAAAUGCGUAGAGAUGUGGAGGAAUACCGGUGGCGAAGGCGGCCCCUGGACAAAGACUGACGCUCAUGUGCGAAAGCGUGGGGAGCAAACAGGGAUUAGAUACC
rnacentral:rRNA from 1 species